AAUGCGCGGCCAGGCAACUGGGGGGACGACGGCGCGGGCACUUGGCCCGAGGACAGCUCGCUGGAGUGGACUGAUGUGCCAGGACAGUACACAGACCUCGUCACCUCCAUGAAGACUUUAUCGAUGUCUGCGGAGUUCCCGCGCGGGCCGCGCAGCCCUCGCCCACAGGAACACUUCAACGAGGGGAACGGUCUCAAUAUGCAGCCGCCAUGGCCGCCGGAGCAGGCGUCUACGUCCACGAUAAACAGCGCUCCGGUCAAAUAUAUAC